GGAAAGAGGAGGAGUAAAGACUGUUUACCAACGAAGUACACAAGCAGUCCAGUCGAAGAUCCAGGAAUUGGGGGUCCCUAGUUUUAAAUCGUGAGGUGUACUGAUUCUCUGGGAUCGGCCCCAAGACUUCAGCCUAGGUCUACCUAGGCAAUAACCUCUCAAAGACUGGAGCCAUUCUAGUGUCUAAGCCCAGGUUUGAGGCUGUGAUGACUCAACGCGGCAUCGCCUCCCCUUGCUAAACUGUGGUCUCCGCCUACCCUCAAUCAAUCUCAAGGAAGUACUUUGGGCGCCAGGAUUCUCAGCACUUAGCUGGUGGGUGAAGGGGUUCACCCUCUUCCCCAUAUCCCACCUUCCCUCCUCCCAGUCUUCCGGAGUGCGGAACUCCUGCCGGGAUCCAAGAGCAGGCUCUUGGUAGUCGAAGAAGGAUAUAACCUCCAGACCCGGAAUUUAAGACGCAAGAACCAGCCAGCAAAUGUGGCAGCCGAGCAUGCGAAUAUCAAGCCUCUGUUGGAUGUAGGGUUGGUGAAGAGCUUUUCCAAUUCUGUAAGCUGCCAUUUUGGGAAGGUGAUGGCUGCUGAAGAAGUAACCGGUUUUUUAUUUGGAGUCUGUGAAACUUGAGAUUCUACUGAAAAGGAGAGGCUCAUGGAGAUGGGAAGCCAAGAAAAUGGCUUCCUUUAUCUGUCUGUCCUGCCUGUGCUUAGGAGUUGUGCCUUGCUGUUCCUGCUAAUUCUACACAAACCUCUUCAACAACGUGCUGUUGCUCAGUCUCUUCUACUCUUUGGAUGUAGAACUCUUGGCUCCAGCAUCAUGUCUGGCUACAUGCUACCACCAUGACAAUGAACCAACCCUCUCAACCUGUAAGCCAGCCCCAAUGAAAUGUUUUCCCUUAUAAGAGUUACCGUGGUCAUGGUGUCUCUUCACAGCAAUAAAACCCAAAGUAAGGCAUUUACAGUUUGUUUUGGUUUCCUUUUUGCUUAUUUUGAUUUAUUAUUUUAUUUUAAUCUUUAGAGUCUGGUUCUCCUUUAGCUCAAGCUACUUUCUAACUCAGUACAAAGCUGAGAGUGACUUCCAACCCCCCCCACCCCCGACUUCAGAAUGCUAGGAUUCCAGGCAUUCGUCAUCAGCCUAACUUACUCAUUACUUGGAACUGAACUCAGGGUUUUGUGCAUGUUAGGCUAGCAUUCUACCAACUGAGUUAUAGCCCUAGCCCUCGUUUUCCCAUUUUCAAAAUAAAGGAUUGGUAAAAAAAAAAAAAAAGAAAGAAAAAGAAAAACAAAUGAAUACUUUAGGCUGAGCUCAUCCAAAACAAUGUAUAGCAUACCAUCUCUAAUCCACCAAUCACGUCUUCAUCAAGUACAUCACUACACCUGUAAGAAAUGCAUAGUUUUGAUCAGGGCUCCUGAUGUAUUUCUAAUCUCCACUAGAUUGGUAAGAGUUAAGCUGUUGACCUGUGAUUGGCACCUCUAGGUGAGUUGUACCAUCAGAUUGUCAGGAAAGAAGACCCAACCUCUUUAGCUCCUAAAGGAUUGGCAGUGGGAGUGAGGGAUGAAGCCCCUGUGUGUUCUCCAGGACUAGAAACUAUAGACAUACUUAGUCCAAAGCAAAACAACAUAAAGUCAGUCUGUUACAUGGAACCACAUGAAAGUCUGAUUUUUGUAGGUCAAAAUGGUUGACUGGUGGCACCAUUAUAGGAUCCAUACUAAUGCUUAGCUAGCAUGUCAGCUGCCUUUAAUGGAAAGGAAGUAUCUUUAUUUAUUACAUGCAUUAAAUGAUUGGCAUUAAUGAUUUUUCACCAUCUUUUUUGCCAUCUGAACCUUAAACAAAUUUUAAACUAUAAACAAAAUGAUGAACAUUUAUUUUGUAUGAAGUCCUCAAAAACACAACAAUAUUUUCUUGUUCGGGUUUUUCAAAGCAAAGUUUGAGCGCUGAGAUGUGGCUAACACAGUUUUUAAAAUAUCGCUUUAUUUUACCUUUUUAAUUUCCCUGUAGAGUUUACAACCAUCCCUGGUGGAGCUGGCCCAUGAGAAGCUAAGUAUCUGUCUUAAUGAUCAAAAAAGGGCACAGGGGCAGGAGUGGGAGGAGUGGGCUCUUUCCCUCUUCUAUGUCCACCUCAGGGCAAUGUAUCUGGGCUAGGAUUCCAAGGAAAACUACAAACCCAAUUUCUAUCGUUAGAAAGUGAGUAAAGUAGGUACAGAAGCUGUCUUGAUGAGAGAGAGAGAGGCAGGGGGAUGGGAGUGUAAAGGAGGAGGAGUGGAUGGAAGUGAAAGAAGAUAAACUCUGAGAAGUGAAGAGCUGAGCCAUCCAAAGGAGGGCACCAGAGAGAAGUCACAAGGAGAGUAAGGGAGAAGGGAGGGCCUAGCUUCCAGGCAAGAGUCACACACAGGUCACUUGGAUAGGAGGAGAGUAGAUGCUUCUUGUUUUUAAAUUAUGAUUUAUUCUUUCUAUCCCUCCAGAAGAACUUAGCGCGACUAGGAAAGAAAGGGGCAGGAACAUUCCAGAACUGCUUUCAGAGAAAAUGUUUAAUUUCUACUUUUUAUUCUGCCCCCAGUGAUACAUAACAACUCAGAUAAAUUUUAAUUUGAAAACAAAAUGGAAGGAGGGGAGGAAAGCAGAAAGGCAGGCAGGCAGGAAGCAAGGAAGGAAGGGAGGAAGGGAGGCCAGCUAGCCAUGUUUUUCUCCCUCACAGCUUCUCCAGUCAUUCUGGGGACUCGUGCAUCUGUUAAUUCUAAUCCUUCUGGAAAGGAACACAAACAGGACAUUUCCUGGAAAUGUUGUUUGACAUGUGGAUUAGGCAAUGUUGACAACUAGAGCAGUCUGUCAGAUACUUCCUCAAAACUGGGCCACCUGGAGAAAUGCCCCCCACCCCCAGUCAUCUCACAUCCUGCCCCUGGUCUCACCCCUGUAUCUGUGUCUCAGCUCCUGGCAUAUGUAGACCUGUCACACUUUUUAGUAAAAGGACAACAGAAAGAGAGGACUCCCAUGUCACUUCUCAGGCCACUUCCUUCUUUACAUGACACUGCAGUAAACAAUUCCCAGGACAGUGAGCUUCUGUAAUGAUUCCAGUAAACAAAAACAAUAAAUAAGCAAGCAAUCCUGUCUCCAGAUCUUGUUAUCAGGCCCCUUCUCGUAGAACCACUGUCUUCCCUCCAGAAGCAAUGUUGAAGGCCAAAGAUAAGGAUAUUACUUGCACACAUGCCAGAUCACUGGCAGUUUGUGUUUUCAAACCGCCAAAAAAAAUGUGAAAAGGAAGUGUGUUGAAUUUAGCUUCCUCAGAAUUGGAUUCAACUGGAUGUCAGACUUCAGUGAGGGACUUGUAAAAGCUGCAUUCGCCCUGGCAUCUGCAGUCAGAGCAGAGAGACAGCUGUGAAAAGCAUCGUCCAGCCAAAACGUGAUUUCAAAAAGGUCAUUUUAUCACAUGAUUUAUUUAUAUUGUUUCUCCAUGGUACAAAGUGUUCUGAUUCAUAUGCAGAAUCCAGAGAGGGAGGAUUUAAAAAAAAACGAAAGAAAAAGAAAAAGAAAAAAAAGAAGCAAAACCUAAGGGCCAUGACUCAGGAGCCCUGCAGAGGCCAAGGAAAUGGAUUUACUGCAUUUUGAAGGCUUUUUGAAGCCUUCCACUCAAAGCAGGUUUUUUGGCAUCAAUCAAAUUAAAAAAGGAAGCCAUAUCAUGCUAAGAUUGAUCUUUUCCCAUACCUUCUGAGGCUUCCUCAGUAAGAAACAUGAUUAGAGGUGGGCCUGCCUCGAUGCUAGUCAGCAAGAACAAUGGAGAUAGUCUUUUUCAUUCAGAAGAGAAAACCAAGGGUCAACUUACCAAAUUUCUAAUGCUUUAUCUUCUUUGCAUGAUGUGCACCAACUCAAAGGGUUUGAGUUUUCUCCCCUGUCUUUUCUUUCCUAAAGAGCCCUUGUCAAUCAUUCUAAGCAGACCUGGAGGAUCUACUGUGGAAGGCUGGGUGUCUUUUUCAAGUAGGAGCGGAUGGCAGAGCUUGUUCAUAGUCCCUUGCCUCUGUCGUUGCUUCCUAAAAACAGGACUGGGGCUUUUAAUACCACGUUUACAAUGUUGACAGGUAGAAUUUAUUGGAUAAAUAUUUCUUUGGCCAUAUAUAUUAUUUAACCUCUCUCUGAUGUGAAGCCCAAGCUAAAUGUUCUGAAGUUGUUUUGUUUUUUGUUUGUCUUUCUGCUAAAUCCCUAUUCCAGGUCAUUUUUUCUUAGUUGGCCUUAGAGUUGGAAGUCAGAUAUUUGAAAAUGUCUUCUGAGCAUUACCAAUACUCAAAGAAAAGAAGAGUCAAAGCUAUUGAGAAAGAAAAGAAUGUAACAUUGCUUGCCAUGGUCUCACUCAAUCCAAACCAGGGCUAAGCAUUUUUUCUUUUAUUUGUCAUCAUCAUCACCACCACCACCACCACCACCACCACCACCACCACCACCACCACCACCACCAUCAUCAUCAUCACCACCAUCAUCAUCACCACCAUCAUCAUCAUCAUCAUCACCAUCUUGCCUUAACAAACAUUUCAGCACCACCUUGCUAAUUGCAAAUUAUGGGAAAAUGUAGAUUCUCUCACAAUGUCUUCAGAAGUGGCUCACUCGGAAAGGCAUGAAGUACAGAUCAUAUUCUGUGAUAAUAUCUGUGGAUAUGUUUGACUGAUUUGUUUUUUGGUUGCUAAAAUCUGACAUUUCACAAAAAUUUGACUUGAGAUUAAUUUACGACUUGAAGUUCCUGAAUACCAACAGUAUUGCCCAGUCAGUUUCCAGGGACUCGGUCAUUUCUCUGCAGUGUCCCUUAAGGAAGCAUUGUUUAAACUGAGAUAGCAUUUUUCUCCUAAAGUUGAAAAAAUUAAAAGUCAAGUUUCAAUACUAUGUGAGAGAAUUCUACAACAUGCUGAGUUUUAUGUCCCUUCACAAACAUGCCAUUCUCGACAGGGCUGGUUUUGGAAGGGCGUGUCUCUGAUCAUUGGCAUGUGACAUUAACCUUUCUGGAGAAGCACUGGACUUGGAUAUUAAAGAGGUAUCUCAAUUAAGUCCAGUUUGCUUUUCUUUGCCUGGGGCAGAGAAAAAGACUCUUAAGUCAUGAGAAGACUCGUUCAGAAUUAGGAAGACCAUCUGAGUCAUUAGAAUAGAAAUAAGAAGGUAGGACCAGAAAAGUAGAAAAAUCACCCGAAACUUCGAAUAAGGCAAAGAGAAUACCAUGAGGCUCUUCAAAUUCAUGUCAAGUUUUCUAACCUAGACCUCAAACACGUAAAAAACCAACAGUGUAAUAGUCUCGUAUUUGGACUCCUGUAUAUUUGCAUACUGUGUAAAACAAAUGAGAGUGUCAAAACCCAGGGCAGAACCAGGGAGCUUCGAGCUGGCUACUUCAUUAGCCAGGCCAGCUUUAAUUGAGCUGCUCAAUGUCGCUCAGUAACUAAGUCAAGCUGGAGCAAGUCCAAAGCCAAUGUCUUCCUUUUAUGGAUAGUGAGGCUUCUCAGCUACAGUCUGAGCAUUCUUUGCCAAUUAAUUAGAAUCCUAUUAGCAUGGUAUCCCACUAACUAAUGGAUGCAUAAAAUAAUAACACGGUACAUAUGCCCAUCAUUUUAAAGUCUAGAAAUGAACUCUCACUCGUCUCAACUCCUUAACCUUAAAGACAGAAUAUUGUCAUCUUCAUUUUACAAAUAAUUUCUUUACUCUCUAAAACUCAAAGCUUACACUGGAACUCAAGACUGUUGAUUUGAACAAUGGGAUUAACACACCUAGAGUUUAAUCUAUGGGUCGAUCUUGUUCUUGCUAGAUGAGUGAUCUUGGGUGAAGCAUCUAAACUUUUCUCAGGGGAACGAACACAGGACUAACUCUGUGUGAUGAGCAUUAAAGCGUGCUUUUGUUGACAGUUCUAACAUGUUGGCUGGGUCAUAGUAAUUACUCAAUAAACUGUUCAUUAUAACCCAAGAGCCAUGUUCCUGAACAAGAGCAAUAAACGAAUCAUUUAGUUCCAUUGUCUUGGUUGGGGGGAAUGACAGCCAUUGUGGUUUUAUGGUAUCGUUGAUACAUAUCUCCAGGAGUCUUCCAUUUAAAGUGAGUGGGGCUUAAAAAUAUUGAAGAGAAAAAAUUUCAAGGCUGUUUGAAUGCAGUCACGAUUCCUGCUUUAACUUUCUUUCCUUCUCUGGGACUUCUUGUGACUUCCACCAAAGUUUACUUAACCUUUCAGGAAAGUCCUCGACAUAUUAGAGCCAUGUGAAAGAGGAGGAUUAAAGAAACCAGCAUCACAGGUUGCCAGGCCUGGAAAAUGGAUUUCAAACUUGGAAUCCUUAAGCUUUAGGUCCCAUCCAGAGACAGCAAAUCUGGGGCAGAACAACAAGCAGAUAAACGUUGAGGCAAGCCAGGGCAAACAUAAUCGUUGGGAGUCCAUGCUGAAGACGCAUUGAAAAGAGACAGGGACAGCUCUGUGCAGGGAAGAGUGCGGAGGCCGAGGAGUCAGCAAGGAGGAGCCCUGCAUUCAAUAAGGGCAAAGCCCCUGUAAGAACUGGGAACACAGACCAGGGACAGGUCUACUCUAAAUGAGGUAUGCCAGGGCCUCUAAAGGGGUGUUCUUUCCAUGACCCCACUCUCUCCCCUCUUCUCUUUCUGAAACAACCCCACUAGACAAAUAGUGCUGUACCACCCACAGCCCCUUUACCACAAAGAAUAUACAUUUUUCUUUUUUCCUUCCCUCUUUUUCUUAUUAGAUGAGCUUAUUCUCUGUAUGAAGAGACUUUUAGGAAUUUCGCUGGUAAACAAUUAAAUCCAAGAACCUUCCUAUCCUGGGAUCACCUUAGCUGAAACUUACUCGGAGGGUGAAUAACACUACAAGUCCAGCCUUGAAGAACAGUUCAUCUCCUAAUGUCCUUGAUGGAGGAACGGGAUGAGUACCACCAUAUUCAAGGUCUUUCCUGUGACAUUUACUCCUCACCUCCUAAGGACAGCAUGUUAGUUCCCUCUGUCCCCAGCCGGGCCUGCACCCACCCUGCCUGCAGUGGUGCCCCAGCACUGCAUACUCUUUCCCCAGAGAGGCCUCAGUGUGAUCUGAACGCUGGGCACGAGCCCCACUAGCAGCCAUCUAUAAAUAGACCAGUCUCUUCCCAAUUUUUUUCAUCAAAAAAAAUGUAGAUUGAUAGAAGGAAAUAUAGGAGAAAAAAAAUAAGCCUAUUUAAAAAAAAUACCCCUGACCAACUCUGUUUCUCUGCUGUGGUUAUGAAUGACUGACUAGAACUGAUUUGGGGAGGAAAGGGCUUGUUUGGCUUACAGCUUAGAGUCUAUGAUCUGAGGAAGCCGUGGAAGGAACCCGGAAGUAGGAAUAGAAGCAGAGACCAUAGACAAAUGUUGCUUUCUGGCUUGCUUUCCUUGGCUCAUGCUCAGCCGACAUUCUUAUACAAUCCCGGCCUAUUUGCCCACGGGUGGCAAGGGCCCACACUGGGCUGGGCCCCCCCUACGUCAAUUAGCAAUCAAGAAACCCCCCCACAGACAUGCCCUCAGGCCAGUCCUGGGGAGGCAGUUCCUCAUCUAGGUUCCCUCUACCCAGAUGUGUUUAGGUUUGUGUCAAGUUGACAAAACUAAUUAUGACAAUCCCCAAGCUGGGAAAUAAAGCAAACAUAUUACCCUGAGCCCUUUCAAAGUCACACGAAGUGUUCUGGCUAGUUCACACAAAGGUCAUUUGAUGUUCAGUCGAGGAUUUGACCAUACAGUAGAGUGGUCACUAAUCCCACAUGGCUCUUCAAAAUUAAAUACUAAUCAAACAGAAUUAAAUGAAAUUAAAACUUUAGUCCCCUGGUCACUCACACACAAAGCUCAGGGGCUGUAUGAAGCUGGUCAGUGGCUAUCCUAAUAGCCAGAUGAGACUGAAUAUUUCCUUCAUUGCAUAAAAUGUGUUCAGACGGUUUCUCUAAGGGGAAGUAAAGUUGCCCUAAACUUGACUGCUACCCAGAGCCCAGACCAUAAAGUUGGAUGGUUGUCUGAUCUUACCUUGAAAAUAAUUUUUAUUCAGGAAAAGGACAAGUCUUUAAGAUGCCAGUUAAUUGUCCUGAAAUCAAUCAACUUUGGAUCAAAAUUCACAAUUUUGUUCUGAAAUUUUAGGAAAAUUUCAUUUAUUCACUCUGUGAUAAUUUCAUAUAUAUACACAUAUAUAUAUAUAUGUACAUACACACAUAUCUUUUUCAUAUACAUCUCUUUUUUCCCAAUAGGUGCCCCUUUUUAUUUUUAAAUAACCUAUUAGGUUUGAUUAGGGUUGUGUAUUGUGUAUGGAUGUGCAUGGUUAUAGCGUUACUAGGAAAUGGACAGCUAACCUGUAGAUAAAAUCAGUGAAGAAAAAGGAUUCUCCUUCCUGUAAAAGGUAUCAAUGGCUAAUAGUUCCUCAACCAGGGAUGGGGCUUUGUGAGCCCACCCCUUUACCAUGUCUAGCAUUUUAAUGAACUAUGUAUAAUUCACCUUUAAACCGUGUUGAUCAUCCUCCUGUGUUCCUUGCUAUGGAGUUAAUAUUAGAUGUGUGUUUACUAUCUAUGGAGGGUAUUGUGUGUGUCAAAGUAUACUCUGACAAAGAAAUUAAAUAGUUAUACUCAGUAGGGACAAGAUUUAAACAGAGUUAGCAUUGAAACUCUGGGCAGAUUACUCUACCAGCCAAAUACUCAGCUUUCCUACCAAGUCAGCAUUAGCAAUAAACCUUGAAGACUGGGUCAGAGUCCAUAAAGCUAUAGCCGGACAAUGCAAGAAGUUAGAGAUGACACAUAAAAAAGUGAGAGUGAUGGGAAGUUUUCUCAUUUCAUUUGCAUAUUUGCAGCUUGAUUUUUUUAAGACAUAAAGACCUACACAACUGAAACUAAAACCAAAGCUGCAUAUAUCCAUAGGAAUUUUUAUGUCAUUGUUUUGAAGACUUUGGUAGCAUAUGGGCGGAGGUUAAAGUCAAUAUUCUACCACAUACAAGCUGUGCAGUCUUAGGCCAUCUAUCCAAUAUCCUUGAACAUCAGAUUUCCCAUCUAUGUAAUGAUAGUGAGAACAGUUAUAUGUAGGGAUGUUACAGUGAUGAAAUUAGAUCAUGGCAGUGAAUGCUAACUGUGUCACUUGUCACAUUAGAGAGCCACCAAGACCAUGGAAGAAGGUGAUAUUUAUUGCCUCCAAUCUGAUCUUGCAAGCCAUGACUUUUUUCAUGUUUGUUUAUCUCAUUCUGAUUUGAACACCUUUUCCUUUGAAUUCUCCUUACAGAGAAGUGCCAUCUUCAUCCUGACUUUGUUUGUUCUUGAUAAGCUCAGUGUGUCAUCAGAAAUGCUCAUUGUCUGUGACAGGUGUCACAGCAUGAGUUCGGUGUCCCUGAAAACUAACAGAACAUCAAAAGCUUUUCAAACUAGCUUGGCAUAGGACAGAAGUAGAUCAGAUAAAAUCCAUGUGACACAGGAAGCAUAUGCAAGCCACUGUCCCAGCACCAGGACUGCAAACAUACUCAAAUUACUAUCCCCCUAAGCUUGGGUAAAGGUCAGAGAAAAACACAAAUUUCAAGAGAAAAUGCAAGAUGUUGGGGGCAGGUGUGAGGAGGAGUUCUUUUCUUUCCCGAGCUCUAUCACUUCCACAUAAACAAGAGUGUCAAAACCUGAAGCAGCCUGGAGAGUGCCUCUAGGAGCCAGGAACUAGUCCCCCGGGACACUGGCCCCCAGAAACCAACAUCUUUCUGAUGAGCAGCACAUAGCAGGAGGCUAUAUGAGAAUAUUGUUAUGUAUAUGUCUCUGGACUCUAAGCAAAGAAUUAGGAGAGGAGAAGGAUACUGUGACUCUUUUGAAACAAGUAUGAACUCAGUAGCCUAAUGAAAGCCAAGAGGAUACAGGCACUCAAAUAAAUCUAGUUGUGUUUCUCUCCAUCAUUUGAGUAAUUUCUCCCUAUGGGUGUGUGUGUGAGGGGGGACUCUAAUAUCUAUAUGAUAAGGUAUUCUCCUGGGAAAUCACUUCUUCCAUGUAUGUCUGGGUGAUCAUAUUAGUCUAUCAAAGGACACUGACUUACCUUGAAUGAUCCUUAAUGAAUGAACUGCUAACCAUGCCAGGAGUACAAAAUUCUUUUGAUGGUUAAUUUUGAUCAAGUGGCCAUCCUUGGAAUUAAUCAAACACAUAUGAAACACAAGGACUAAUUGCAAGAAUGAAGAAGGUACUAGGUAGGGAGGCAAAUGCACAUAGUUCCCAAGGUAAUCGAUAUGCAUGCCCACGUAAAAUCUUGGACCCAAAUGUUGACAGUAAUAUUAAGCACCGUAUCUCAAAGGUGCCCAAAAUUCUGAAUCUAUCACCCAAUGAAAAAGUAAGCAGACUGAAAUCACACUACAAGAGGCUGUUUGCCCAGAAAGAGUGAAAGACUAUAUUUAUAACACAAAUACAUCCUAAAGAUAACAUGCUAUGUGAAAGAAGCCAGUUGUGAAAGUUUGCAUAACCCCACUUACAUGAAAUUCUACAGUAGGCAAAGCCAUAGGGCCCAGAUGUUAGUAGUUCCCAGGGGAUGAGAGGGGAGGGCUCUAGCAGUCAUGGGCUUUCAAUUGGGAGCGAUGACAGCAAUCUGGAAUCCCAUAGUGGCAAUGCUUGCUAAUUUCAAACAUCCCAAAAAUGUGCAGAAUCUGUAACGAAAAGGGGUGAAGCUUAUGCCAUGCUAUAUGUCUGUAAAAGGAAAGCUCAUCAUCACUUCAAUACUGACAUGUUUGCAAGGCCAAAUGCUACUUGGCUGUCACUGCCACUAGAAACAGCAGUAGUUAAUGACAAGUUCAUAGCUAUUAGUAAACAAAGAAAGUGUCCACAUUUACCCAGGGCCAUUCAUAGAAAAUAUUUUAUAAAGGUAGAGUAAUGAGCAAGGUGAAUAGGCCCAUAUGAAAUUAUCGUACAGAAGCCCACCGUUUUGGAUAGCUAAUAUACACUAUUAAAAAUAUCUACAAAAAGAAAGUUUAAUAUUUCUAUUUAAGAAUUCUUUCCUUUGGAGAUUCCCAAGCUUUGGCUCUAAGUACUCUGUCAGUGGUUCCUGCCUCACGGUUCAUGACUUUAGUGGACUUUUCCAGCCUCCAGUUCUGAGAUUGUACCUUGCAAGGCUUAGUAUAGGAUAUCAGAAAACUUAGGAAAAAGCACACAGGGAUUGUAAUCGAUCCAUUUGCUCUUGAGUCAUCAUGAAGACACCAUUCCUACUACUCUUAAGGCUCUCUCGGGAAAAGCCAGCAGACUCACUUUUUGGAAUCCUGGCAGUUAAGUGAUUAUAUUGAAAGUUGUUCAUUAAGGGAGGUGUGGGAGUGGUUUAGGAAACAGGAGAAUUAGGAAGAUGCCCAGAGACUAACAAGCUCAGAAUUCCUGACGGCCCCUUGGGCUGAAGAUCCACAGAAGGGUGUAUUGGUAAAGGAUUACAGGACUUGUGGGACCAGAAAAGCCUGCAACCUCUCCCUUCCCUAUGGCUUUCUGGCUAAUGUCUAGCUCUUUAAACCCAACUUGAAGUUAGUUAAUCCCAGAGCAUCAAGAAUGCAGUUUACAAGGGUGGUUCCCCUAGGGCAGAGAGAGUUUUCCAGAGGAAGAGGAUAAGAAAGAAACAAAUUUUUAAAAUACAAAAUCAUAAAUACUAAGACUUCUUUUGCCUCUUUGCUGUUGAUGGUUGAAAUCCUUGUAGCCUUCUGUCCCUAGAUUUGGCGACCUGUUUCCCCUCAAUAGCAAAUGCUGCCCUUAGGACUACAGUCUAAACAAGUUAGAGGACAUGCAGAGACAACUUGUGCUACUUAAUUUCAAAGAAGCAACUCUUUGAACAGCGUUAAAAUCUGUUUCUCAUAGAAGGCAAAUUAGUUAAUUUCAAAUGUGCUUUGUGAAUAUCAACAGACCACCCAAAUGUUUACUUAUUUUUAAGUUGUCCUCCUAGUGGGUUUUAGGGGUGGGGAGUGGGGGAUCUCAUUGCUUUGAGGAAAAAGGAGGGUGUUUUCCUGCAUAUAAAUUGUCGACAUGAGGCCCAGCUCCAUAUUAAAAUAUUAAUGACUCAUUUAGUGAAGAAGAAAAAUGUAGCUACCAUAGAAAACCCCCAGGGAAACAUUUGUUUCCACAAACCUACAGCAAAGGGCCAAUCGAAUGCCCAGAGCAGCGCUUACUCAACCUUUCUUCCUGUACACAGCAGAACACUGUGGGAAGAAAAGAAAGCAACCGCUCUAUUGUUGAACUGUAUCUCCUAGCUUACAGGUCAGCACACAUGAGGGCUGCGGGACCAGAAAUUCAUAUACACCAUUCUAGAGCAGAACAAAAAACAUCCUCUAGCUCUUUAAGGAAGUGCAAACACUGGAAAUGGUCUGGGUUGGAAGGUCUGUGGAGCAGGAGCCCCUGAGGUGGUAUCUAACUGGGACUGGCUUUCUGAGGCCUCCUUCUUCCAUCCCCAGUAACUUUCUGGAAAUAGAACAAUCAUUGUCUAAAGUCAACUCACAGUGGUCUACCAGGGGUAAAGUCUAUUGUUUUGCCAACUGGAAUGUUUUGGAUUGUAAAGAGCAGAGAGAGAAAGACAUAUCCUGGGGACCCAAGGGGAUGAAUGUCCAAAGAGCAUGUUUUUAUUUGCUAGAAAACCACCACCUGGGCCAUCUGAUACAAGCCACACCAGGGAUUUGAAUUGCUAUAUUUAUAAAACUGUCCUCACACUUCCUCAGGCUCUGUGGAUUUAGAGCAGUGGCCUUGAAGCAUUGUCUUUUUGGUGUGAAUAAAUUGGAGGAUUUCUGUGUAGCUGUUUUGAGAGGGUGGGGUUCUGCUAAGACAUUGAGUAGUCUCAAGUCCUUGGGAAGACUCCUUCACUAAAGCUGAGCAGGACAGCUCUUCCCUGCCUGGUUCCCAAGCUCUGAGACUCAGCCACAGGUCCAUGAGGUCCCUAAGCUCCUUUGUUCUCUAAGACUUAGCUAUCAAGUAUACAUGUCUUUGAGAAAAGAUAAUCUUAGAAUUCUUAAAACCCUUAGAAGUUCACGAGACAGUAGAAGUUGCAAGGGCAUUUCUAUAGCUUGAAAAGAGCAUAUUGUAAGCUGUUUCGAACACUAUGUGAAUCAGUACAGUGGUUCCACCAAAAAAAACCAAAAAACAAAAAACAAAAAACAAAAAAACAAAAAAACUAAAAAUACAGCUACCAUAUGAUCCAGCUCUUUUGUUCAAGGGCAUAUAUACAAUGAAAUCUAAUAAAGCAUCACAAAGAUGCUCACACAGAAAUGUUUAGGGAAGCCCUAGUCAUAACAGCCAAGAUGUAGAAUCAGUCUAGAUGCCUAUCAGCAUAUGAGUAGAUUUUUUAAAAAAAAAAAAAAAGGUGAUGCACACAGUGGUAGAAAGAAGACUUUGGGGAUACGGGAGGGAAAUGAAGAGAGAGCACUGAUAACAGAAAGGAAAACAAUAUUACGUGAUCUCUCAUAUGCAGAACCCUGAGUUACAAUGCAUAUUUCUAUAUGUGUGUGUUUAUGUGUGUACAUGACAUGAAAGCAAUGGGGAUACUAUUCGAGUGGAGGAAAGGGACUAGGCAGAAGCGGAGAGGUAGAAAGGAUUGUUCUGGAGACAAACAAGAGCAAAGUGCACUAAACAGAGCGAAAUGCACUGAAACACCCACAAGGGAAUGCCAUCAAGAAACUCAUACUUCAUGCACUUACUAAAAGUAGUUUAAAAAACUUUAAAACGCCAUUGUUGGAAGGGUGCCAACAUAUGUAGCAGAUGUGCAACUUGGUCUUCACGUGGGUCCCGAACAACUGGAGUGGGAACUGUCCCAAAAGCUGUUACCUGUGCAUAGGAUACGUUCUUCUAGCUGGACUGUGCCUUGGGGGGGCAGGGACCCAAGGGGGUCCUCCACCCUCUCAUAGGAGAAGGGAAGGGAGAACAGGGGAUGGAUUAUGGGAGGAGAUGCCUAGGAGGAAGUGAGAGGGAUGUAAAGUAAAUAGAAAGGAAAGAAAGAAAGAGAGAGAGAGAGGGAGGGAGGGAGGGAGGGAGGGAGGAAGGAAGGGAGAGAGAAAGAAAGGAAAAGAAAGGAAGAAAGGAAGGAAAGAAGGAAGGAAGGAGGGAAGGAAGGAAGGGUGACAAAACUAUUCAAACACACUUGAUUUUCUAAAGGAUUAUCAGUAUAGCCUAAAGCUUCUUUUGGAGGAGACAAGUUUAAAUUCCUAGAAACGCCACUGAAGCUGUGCGGCUUUUGGCAAUGCUCAUCCUCAGUUGUAGCAUCAGGUCAAAUGAGCCUUACUAUUCCAUUAACUUUGCUGUGUUUUACCUACAGCAGUUACUCCAUACACACACAUACAUAUAUUUAUACCUACAAACAUGGUGCUUCAGAUGUAGUAGGUAUUCAGUAAGUGGAGCAUGAGGAUGGUAAGGACAACUCGAACUUCUUGCAGACAGAUAAACAGGAAAGAGCAUCUGAAUGUGUGCAAAGGAGGGAAAGAUAAGGAAAGGGCAGAUGAUAUAACUGUUCAGUGACAGCUGGCUCUCUCUCUUUCCCUACUUGUGUCCCAUGCUGAGAAGAGGGAGGCUGGGUGAAGAGAGCUUCAGCUUUUGGGUUAGAGCUGGCUGAUGAAGGAAGAGGUGAGAGAUACAUGGGAAACUCUAAACAGAUGCAGCUGCCUGGUUCCUCAGGUCUGUCCCUGAGAGAAUAUUGACUCGGCUCUAAGGAAAGCAUUUUGUUUGGCAGAUUCUGACUCUUUUCAUGCAUCUGAAUUUUUUGUGCAUCUGAAUGCUGACACUUCCUUUCUCCAGCUAACUGCUUUGUAACUAAUCACACAGCCUUAUAGACAGUACUGGCUGGGGCUUCUCACAUGACUAAAAUUUAACCUGAGCAGGGCUUGUCUCACACAAUGCUAUAUCACAUCAUGUAAUGAUGAGAUGAGACAAUAGGAAUGGAAGAGAGUUUGAGAGAGAACAAAAGAGUGGUGGACUGGGGGUGGGGGCGAUGGGUGUGAGUUUUCGUACAGUGACGUACAAUUCCAUUCCUUAUUUGGAGCCAAUGGUUUGCAGGGAAAGAAACAAGGUGUGUGUGUGUGUGUGUGUGUGUGUGUGUGUGUGUGUGUGUGUAUGUGUGUGUGUGUGUUUAAGUUAUUAAAUUCAUCUCAGAGGAACAAUGUAUUUUUAGAUCCACCUCAUGACCUGAUUUUCUGUAGUGAUUUCAUUCCCUAAGCCAUCCCUGUUGAUCAUAGGCUACCCUGAGGUCAAGGAGAGAGGAGGAAUAAGUGGAGAAAUGUGGUUGCCAGCAGCUAUUAGAAACCAUACUCUUCCAAUCUCAGAGAAGACCAUGUUGCCUGGGCUCCAGCUCAGCACUCUGUGGCUGCCUCCUCUAGUUGGACUUUGUCUGAAAAGGAGUUUAGAAAUAGCUCGGUCAGAAAAGUGCUUUGUAAGCAUGAGAACUUGAGCGUGACAACCCCCAGCCCCUGCCACCAUGCACACAUACCUGAAGCAACAUGAAAAAGCUUGGUAGAGAAGCCUGUGCCAGUAAUACCAUGACUAGUGCAGGCAGAAGCAGGUAGACAGAUCCAUGCAAUUCACCGUUCAGUCAUCCUAACCUUCAUGGUGAGUUCCAGGACAGUGAGAGACCUUGACUCAAAAAUAUAGAAAGUGAAGGUGGAUGGCUUUUGAGGGAAGACAUAUGAAGGAAUACUUAGCCUCCAAAUGCACCCCUAAGCAUACAAGUGCACAUACACAUGCAUAAACACACACACAGUCUCUCACAUGCACACACACACACACACACACUCACAUGCUCACGUGCACACAGUUUACAUGCUUCAGCUCUGAGAAGGGAGACAAAGUGGUCAUCUACCUCUUACCAAAUUCUUGGCAAAGCUCUUUUAAGAUCUACCUUCAAGACUAGCGAUAAAGUGCUUAGCAUGUGAGAGUAUGGUGACCUGAUUUGGGAUCCGCAGAACUUACCUAAAAAGCUAAGCGUCUAUCAUUCCCUUGCAUGGUGUGGGGGGAGCGGCUCCCGGCUAAGCCAAUUUGUGAGCUCCAGAUUCACUGAGAGACCCUUUCUCAAAGAGUAAGAUGAAACAUAAUAGACACAAUUUCUGAGCCUCCAGAUAUUCACACACAGGCUCCACCCUCAGUAAAUAAAAAUACUGAAGUGUAACUAUCAAGCAAAUAGGAUCCAUCAGAAACCCCUCCCAACCCAGUGCAGUUCCUAUCCCCUUCUUACCUAUUAGAUUUUUCUCAAAUACUGUAGAAGUCCUUUCAGGCUUGUCUAGUCCUACAAAGUCUCUCCAUGGCAAGAUCAGCCUCUACCUCUCUAGCUCCCACAUGCUCUGUAUGUCCAAAACCCAGCAACUUUCCAGUCAACAGCUCUUGUCUUAUCUCCUGCUUUUAAGUUAGUAAAACUUUCUAUCUUUCCUCCCACUCAAGAUCAUGUAAUUACAAAACUGAGUGCAACAUUUUCCUAGAAUUUGUCUACCCAAGAGAGUUCAUUUUAGUUCUUUAACUGAUGGGGAUAGCAACCCCAUAGGAAGACCAGCAGUGUCAACUAACCUGAACCCCUGGGAACUCCCAGAGAUUAAGCUGCCAACCAAAGAGCAUACAUGAACUUGUUCGAGGCCUGGGCUCAUGUGUAGUAGAGGACUGCCUUGUCUGCCUCAGUGGGAGAGGAUGCACCUAAUCCAGUAGAGACUUGAUACCCCAAGGAAAGGGGAUGCCCAGGGUCAGGGACACAGUCUCAGAGGCAAAUGAGGGGAUGCAUGGAAGAACUCUGUAAGGGGGCAUCAGGAGGGAGCAACAUUUGGGAUGUAAAUAAAUAAAAUAAUUAAUUAAAAAGAAUUUUAGUCCUUUAUUCCGGGUCAAGUACCCUUAAGGUUGUUGUAAAUUUAGCGAUAAAAUACAGGAUUAAGAAUUAUAUUGCUUUAACAAAAAGACCUUAAAAUUUAGUAGCUUUCCAUAUGGGAUGAUCUCAGUAUCUUUUGUUUUUGUUAUGAGACAGGCUUUCAUAUCUCUCUGCAUAGCCUUGAACUCAAUACUUAACUAACGAUGCCUCUGGACUUGACACUGUCCUCUCGGUGCAGGGAUUACAGGGACUCCCACCACUCCUAAUUGAUGUAGUGCUGGGGGUCAAAUGUAGAGUGACCCUUGUGCUAGGUGAGCCCUCCAUGAACUAAGCUACAUUCCAAUGUCCAGAUUUCUGUCAUUGCUACUAAGCAAAGUCCUUCCAUAGCACGUUCCUCCAUCUUUUUGGAUGACUGGAUUCAUCUCUGUGGGUUUUGUGUUUCCUUUUGCAGUUUGGAGGUGGGUCAGCAUGUUCACAUACAUCCUCAAGGCCUCUUGUCAGCCCACUCUAGUCUAGUUUACAGUUUUGGUUUAGCUCAAAUGAGCGGGGAAAGAAGUUUGGGGAAGAACGUGCUACCAGGCGAGGACGUGUAUUAGCCCCCAUUUCUAUUGACAAGCCUACUACAGAGACAUACCUCAUGUCUUCUUUCUAAGUCCUUUCAAAGCAACCUUUGAUGUUGUUUUGUUAUGGACUUAACACCAAGAGGCAGAAGUAAGUAAAAGUAAGUGUGGCUGGAAAAGGGGCAAGAGAGAUUGGUUAUGUGAUUGAGUGGGUGGGGCCGACUCUUGGUAUUGAUGUGAGCAGUUCUUGUGUAUCGGCCUUUGAGAUGCCAGGAAAAGUAUUGGAGAGGAUUUUUACCACCGAUUCCCGUUUUCUAAUUGUAAAAUGUCCACAGGCACUGCGCCUAAGAUGCUUUGUGUGGUACAUCUCGUUUGCUUUUUUCUUCACCCCCAAACAUGGUGAUGGAGAAUAUAGUCCUACAAGUUUGGGCCACUGUGUACCAUUGUGUGAUGACACAGCGAUCAAACGAGGGACAGGCUGUCGUUUCCAAGUUUCCCUUCUGCUUAUUUGUAGUAAACUUUGACCUCCAUUCAUUUCAACCUUUGUAACUUUGCUCUCUCUUAUAUGCUGCCUUUUUCAGAAUAUCAUAUACUGAGAAUCGUACCUUUAAUUCUAGCUGCUAGAUGGCUGGGCGUUAAAAUGUCCACAAAGACCUGUUUUGAAAAGCACCUGGAGGAUUUCUCCCACACUUGGUAAGUUUAACCUGAUGGGGACAUUUCAGAUUCAAACCAUAGAACCUUCCCAUCAACUAGAACAUUCUCUUGACUCCAGCAGGCAUUCACUGAAUGUAUCAUCACUGCAUUAUAAAACAAGAGCAUAGCAUGCAUGAGGGCAGGAAGCCUGUUCUUCUUUAGUCCCUCUGUGGUACAACCCCUCUCCUUUGGGAGCAAGAAAAAUUAUGAAGUUGCCUUCAUGGAGGUCUUUUUGGGAACCUUAACAUGAGUUUUUAAUGAUCAGCCGAAGUCCCCAGGAGUCAAGGGACUUUACCACUAAUGAGCCCCACCCGAUAAGCAGUCUUUGGCCUCUGAGCUGCCAAAGUGUAGACAGGCCAGAGAAGUAAAACUUUUAAGUCAGCCUUAUCUCUUGGUAUUUUGCCAACUCUGUGGAGGUCCUGGAUUGUGUCCCUUGCCUGGAGGCACCAACAUAGGUUUUCCCUAAAGGAAGCUCAAAUUCAUGCGGCCUUAGGUCGUCCCAGGAGAGAAAGAAGGAGAAGAUAAGCAAUUGUUCGAGAAGCACCUUAGGAAACUGUACUGGGGUGGCACCCUAAGAAGCUAAAAAGCAGGGUAAAGUAACCCCCGUCCUUUGCCUCUGCCUCCUACCAAAGUUGUACUUGCCAUGACAGAGAAUUUGAAAAUACCAUGCGUCAGAAGAAGAGUCUAAAAUUAUCCCCUCCUGUCAUUAAAAGAGUAACCGUUAGCAUAUCAGACCUAAGGUUUUGUGUUUUGGGGGAUAAAGAAAGCACACACCCACACACUCGUGCAUGCACGCAUGCUCACGAAUGAUCUUUGAGACCAGCCUAGCCACAUAAUUAAGCUCUAGAAACAUCUUACGUGUUAGUGGGAGAUUGCUUGCCAGUUCACUUCAAGUACCUGCAUUUGGUUUGGAAACAGAUUUAAAAAGUUGUCAGAGCUGGGCAUGGGGGUGGCAUAACCCUUUAAUCCCAGCACUCAGAAGGCAAAGGCAGGUGGAUCUCUGUGAGUUCAAGGCCAGCCUGGUCUACAAAGUGAGUCCAGGACAGCCAGGGUUGGUUGCACUGAGAAACUCCAUAUCGAAACAAAACAAAACAAAAGCAACAAAGCAAAACAAUGGCAACAAAAAGCAAAAUACAAUAACAAAGUUGUCAGACUACUUUUAUGUUUAAUUCUCUUGUUUUUCUAAUUAAUUAAUUAAUUAAUUGUGGAAAAAGUAUUAUCCCAGGUGCUUAGAGCAUGGACUCUAGUGUGGGUUUGAAGUCUGACUUCGGUCAUUGUUUUGGGGACGUAAGCCUAGGCCAGUGAUUUUAUAAGGCCGCGUCAUCAAAUAAGAGCAAUAGCUAAUUCAUGGGUCUUUUGAAAGGAUGCCUUUGGGUGGUCCAUGUGGCCCUUCAUGCACAGGAAAUUCUCUGUACAUAUUAUAUAUAAAAGCCUAGCUAAAGAAAAAUAAAACCUUCAAACCUACCUUCUAGAGAUAACAUGUUAAUUGUAAGGACACAUUUGUGUUUCUGUAACCAAUAGAUGGCAGGUACCUUCUCCUGACAAAAAAUGUAUAUUGCUCAAAAGUAUGUCAAAUAUGCUAAUGACCACAGAAAGUUCCACUGAUACAAAUAUGCCAGGAUUCUCUUGUGAAAGAAAAGAAAAUCACAGAAGGCACUGUAGAACACAAAGCCUCGGGCUUCUGCCCAGUCAAAUCCUCCCUGUGCGCGUUGGACGACACCAGUGUGGAAUAAUCUUGCCACAAACUUGGACUCUACAAUGUCAGGAAGGAUCUAAGAACCUCGUCCCGAUUGAUUUCCAAGCCGGAGCUGACCUUGAUUGUCCCAGGACGUCACCCUCACCUGAGCACUCUGCUCUUGACAUGGAGAAGAAACAAAAUUGGAAACAGUUGAAUUCCUCUGGCGGCUCCUGCUGACUAAGCAGGCGAGGGACCCCACUGCAGAGUUCAUGGUGGUUUUGGCAGAGCAGGAUUCCCUCCCGAGGUUCCAGCCUCCUGGGGGCCAGAUGAGGGGCGGGCUUGUUUACACAGCAUCUCAGACCAAACAGCUGGGGGACGGCAACCAUUUAAUUCUGCCCUGCUGACUUGAGAAGGAAUUUGGUUACACCACACAAGGGAGAGGCUUCCUCAGCUCAUUCCUCACUUUGUGUGUCUCUUCCUUUCCCCCCUUUCCUGUCUUAAAAUUUUCCUCCCCCUGUCUCUUUAUUACCCCUCUGCUCUUCCUUUUUCAACUUUCCCCUCUUUUCUUUACUUCCAAAACAAAGUGCUAUGGGAGGAUGCUUAAGACAGACAGAAGUCCUUUAUUUUUAGAGCCGGGAGAAUUUUUAUCCCCAAAGAUCUGUUAGUAAAAUAAAUGGGAUUAAUCUUUCUCAUUCGGGCAAAACAUGAACCUCACACUGGUCUUAGAGAUGCUGUUUUUGGAAAGAAAGGAUUGGGGUUCCUCAGGGAGUCUGACCCAGCUACACCAGUUGUAAAGUCCGCCCAUUUCCAAGCAAAGGAGAGGAAUUGGAGCCCAGCACAGGGUGGCUAAUUCUGAGGAGACUUUAUCCACAUACUGCCUGGGACGGAAAACCACAGCCUUAAUUAAAAUUUUCAAUUCAAUCCCAUUGUUUAUUAAGAAGGCAAUAGAGAGCCCAGGGGGUCAAAUAGACAAACCCCAACUCAGCCACUGAGAUGCUGUGUGUCUUCAAGAAUAUGACUCUUCCUCCGGAAGCCCACAGAGCUCUCCUUUUGGAGGUAAGACUAACCGGAGUGGGUGGACAUCUGUUUGGGUUGUGUGUCCCAGGUAUUUAGCAUAGAAGAGUGACCAGGAGAGGCAGUUUGGAGCCUUUGAGUGAUUCUUCAUUGUUCAGUGAGCUGUGGAUCCCUUCACUGAGUCACCAUUUCAGCCUUGCUCUCAUAAGGAAAAAACACACAUCUGUGUAUCAAAUGAGCUUGCUAAAAUAAAAGUGCAUACUGUCUGGAA